rnacentral:lncRNA from 1 species
GUGACCUUUGCGCGCAGCUCAAUUAUUGCGCGGGCUGGGGGCGGGGCCUGCGGGGAAGGGACAGAGCCAAGCCCAGCCUUGAGCCAUCCUCGCCCCUGUGGCGGAAAUGGGAGGGUGCCUGGAGGAGUGGAGGGAUUGGAUUUACACCCUCUUUUCCCUCCGAAGCCUCCUUGGUGGGGGCGAAGAAAGACCAUCCAACCCUGCCAAAGGCAAAAGGAUUAAGGAUAAAUGAAAGCAAGAUAAUGUAGAAGAACUACUUAGCUGCUGGGUUUUUGGAGAUGAGUGAUUUUUUUUUGUAGGGAGAAAUUAUGAAACACAUUGAAAUGGACAAAAAAUUACUGAAUGUCUUCAAUGAAAAAACAGCCAUAGUUUGGCACACCGUCCCGGGCAUUCUGUUGCUAGAGGGGCUGUCCGCUUUUCUUUGUGGUGCUCUGCACAACUCGGCAGUUGCGGUUUUCCUGCCCUUGGGACGUGCAAUUAUGUUGUCCAGCCCGCUGCCAGAGGACAGCAGGAAGGGAGAUGUGUUGUCCACCCCACUGCCACUGGACCACUUCUAUACAUAGCUGGUUCUUCUGUCCAGCCCGCUGCCACUGGACUCUUUCCCCUCUGUCACCACUGGACUGUAAGCUCCUAAUACAAACCCAUGUCUCAUUUACUGGCUCUCCAGUCUCUUCUUGGCCUCUUGAACCUGGUACCUUCUCUAUUGAGUUUUCCUUUUCAAGGAUCAAGGCUACCAGUUUGGUUAAAAAAUUCAGCCAUAUGCUGUUUCCAUGGGACACACCAAGAUCAUAAGAACAUGGAAAAUUUGAAAAUCAAAAAAUGGGAAAACAGAUCAGGCAAAUGGCAACCACAAGAAAGUUGACAUCAGAAAAAAAUAUUUUUAAUUUAUUAUUUAAAAAGAAAUUUUUUUGAGACAGGGUCUCACUUUUGUCACUCAGGCUGGAGUGCAGUGGUGUGAUCUCGGCUCACUCCAACCUCCAUCUCCUGGGCUCAAGCGAUCCUCCUGCUUCAACCCCGCAAGUAACUGGGACUACAGGCACACGCCAUCAUGCCUGGCUAAUUUUUGUAUUUUUUGUAGAGACAGGGUCUUGCCAUGUCACUCAGGCUGGUCUCGCACUCCUGAGCUCAAGCAAUCCUCCUGCCUUGGCCUUCCAAAGUGCUAAGAUUACUAGCACGAGCCUCCACACCCAGUCUAAAAUAGAUUUUUAAGACAAAAACAUUACCAGGGAUAAAGAGGAUAACAUAAUGGCAAAAGGUUCAAUUCACUGGGAAGAUGUAACAACUGCAAAGCCGUAUAGCAUCUGUUUAAAUAGCCUCAAAAUGAGAGACCUCCAGAGACUGACAGCAGCAAACAUAUUUCCACAAGGGCACCUCCCAACACUCCUGGGUUCCGUUAGCACAGAAUGAGUGCUAGUUCUUUGGCAACCCAAGAUUAAGCCCUGUGGCCGCAGUGAAAAGAAUCCCAGGAGAAAACUCAGAAAUAAAAUGGAAGAAGUAAGACUUCAGGUUGAAAUCACUAGAAACCCCCAGGAAGUAAAGGAGGAAAAUGAAACCGAGGAACCAGAAAAACUAUCCAACAAGUUCAUUAAUACUUGGAGUGACCAGGAGAUCCACAGUUUCCUAAAAGAAUCUCUUAAAUUUGAAGAAAUCUCUUGAAGAGUCGAGGAAGAAUCAUGAACAGUCUAAAGUGAUUGUCCAGCAUCUCAAGCAGACGGGUACACAGUGGAGCUGGCACGUGACAAGUUUGCAGGACUUUUACUGGACUACUCAUGAGGCCAACCUGAGGCCAAGGAGCCAGUGCCAGCCCUGUCCUGAUGGAGAGGCCCUACACGGGAUUCUGGGAUACAGAUGGAAGGAUGUCUUUUCAGUUCCUCCCUCUGCAGAUGCAAUUGUUCUUCCAACUGCCUAGUACCAGCCCGGGGCCUGUGCCAUCCCUGUUCACUUUGAGGUGCUGCUGUGGGCUCCCUCACCCACGAACUGCAUGUGGGAUCGUUGGGUGCCCAGAUAAGAACCCUGAAACAUGAGCCCCCCACGGUCAGCCCCAUGCUUGUUUCCUGACUUCUUCCCUGCAGCCUGCAGCCUGCAGCCUCUAGCAGCAUUGGCCACCCUCUUCUGAUUCUGAUCCAGAUUCUGAACUGAGAGACAAUUAGAAUCUGGAUCCCAAUUCCCUCUGAAAGCAACAGAAUAACAUGAUCUAUACACGGAUGCAUGACACUUUGCCAAGCCCAAUGUAAUGAGAAUAAAGUGUGAAUAAAAUAAAUGGCUUCAAAAUACAAAAAGCAAAGAUGAAAAAAUUACAGGGAGAAAUCCAUAAUAGUGAGAGAUUUGGCAUGCCUCCAUCAUAUAUUAAUACAUCAAGCACAAAAGAAAAUAGAUUUGAGAAAAUUAAUGGAUGUGAUUUAACAUACAUACAUAGUAUUGGGAGAUCAUUCUUCACUAGUCUUUCAUACUUCUGCACAUCUUGUGAGUGCAGCUUUUGUUCUGGAUUAUCUGUUCAAGUAUGUACAAUGAAUAGCCUUGGACUAUAGAGACAGUGCCUCCCUCUGGAGUGAACAGCAAGUUUGUUCACCGCCCAGUCUAAUAAAGACACUGCCUCCCUCUAGGUCAAAGUUUGAGGAGGUUUGUUUGCAGCUCAUUACAAAAAACUGGAACUUCCUAGUCUUGAGGUUUCUCAGCUGUGAAACGCACACACUGCAUCCACCUGGGCCUCUUCGUAUUAGCCUCAUGGGACUUACAGGGCGAGGAGAAUCCACACAAGCAUGAAGCUCAUGCUGCUUGCUAUGCUAGGGGUGAGUAAUAAAUCCUUUGUCUCUGAUCCAGGAGUCUCAUGUCUUC